rnacentral:tRNA from 2 species
GGACAGAUGGCCGAGCUGGUUAUGGCGCCAGGUUAAGGUUACCUUGACAACAUCUCCUGGUCACGAAAGUGGCGUGGGUUCGAGUCCCACUCUGUUCA